rnacentral:lncRNA from 1 species
CUCCGUCCUCCACUUCUCAUCCAUUUUUUCUUCUCAUCUUUCUCUAAGCCGCCCAUGAGCCAUCCUUUCUCCCCUCCUCCCCUUCAUCCUUACCCACUUCUCCUCCUCAUCCUCUUCUUCCUCCAAACUGCCUAUGAGCCAUCCCCUCUCUUUGCUUCCCUUCUUCCUCAUCCUCCUCCUCCUCCUCCAAACUGCCCAUGAGCCAUCCCCUCUCUCCUCCAAGCCGCCUA